GAUGAAGAACGCAGCAAAAUGCGAUAAGUGACAUGAAUUGCAGAAUCCUGUGAAUCGUCGAGAUUUCGAACGCACUGCGCCCGGGGGAAACUCCGGGCACGUCUGACCGAGUGACGUCAAUAUCACUUGCAUACCCCCCCAACAUACGUACAGGUGCGGUUGGUGGGGCAGCAGACUUUGUGGGUUUGUGCUUGGGCACUCCCAUCCAAGUUAUCACUGUGCAACCUCUCUUGGGCAAGCGAAGAGACUCUGCCGCGAGCAUUACACUUAGUACUCUCCUGGCGGGCCCUAUGCGUCAGUCUUGCCAAUUCUUGGGGGCGACACCACAGUCCUUUUUUACACUUGCAGAGACAACUGCCCCAACAAACACCAAACCGUCCUCGGAUCAGGCGGGAUUACCCGCUGAACUUAAGCAUAUCAAUAAGCGGAGGA
rnacentral:misc_RNA from 1 species